GACGAACCGUACGAACGUUAUUCGGAAUCACUGGGCUUAAAGGGUGCGUAGGCGGCGCUGAAAGUUGGGUGUGAAAUCCCUCGGCUCAACCGAGGAACUGCGCCCAAAACUACAGUGCUCGAGGGAGAUAGAGGUGAGCUGAACUUAGGGUGGAGCGGUGAAAUGCGUUGAUAUCCUAAGGAACGCCAGGGGCGAAAGCGGCUCACUGGAUCUCUUCUGACGCUGAGGCACGAAAGCUAGGGUAGCGAACGGG
rnacentral:rRNA from 1 species